rnacentral:hammerhead_ribozyme from 1 species
AUCCGGCUUACGACUUCCAAAUAGGACGAAACGCGCGUCUUGGAU